GGUGCCAUACUGUGGGGAUAAGAUCAA
rnacentral:piRNA from 1 species